rnacentral:sRNA from 1 species
AUGCCCUCCUUGGGCGUUUCCUCCCUAGACUUGGGCCAGCCUGCGGGCUGGCCUUUUUUCUUUCC